rnacentral:rRNA from 1 species
GACGAACGCUGGCGGCGUGCUUAACACAUGCAAGUCGAACGGAAAGGCCCUGCUUUUGUGGGGUGCUCGAGUGGCGAACGGGUGAGUAACACGUGAGUAACCUGCCCUUGACUUUGGGAUAACUUCAGGAAACUGGGGCUAAUACCGGAUAGGAGCUCCUGCUGCAUGGUGGGGGUUGGAAAGUUUCGGCGGUUGGGGAUGGACUCGCGGCUUAUCAGCUUGUUGGUGGGGUAGUGGCUUACCAAGGGUUUGACGGGUAGCCGGCCUGGGAGGGUGACCGGGGACAUUGGGACUGAGAUACGGACCAGACUCCUACGGGAGGCAGCAGUGGGGAGUAUGGCGCAAUGGGCGGAAGCGUGAUGCAGAAACGCCGCGUGCGGGAUGACGGCCUUCGGGUUGUAAACAGCUUUCGCCUGUGACGAAGCGUGAGUGACGGUAAUGGGUAAAGAAGCACCGGCUAACUACGUG